rnacentral:rRNA from 1 species
UGAGGAAUAUUGGUCAAUGGGCGGAAGCUUGAACCAGCCAUCCCGCGUGCAGGAAGACAGCCCUAUGGGUUGUAAACUGCUUUUCCAGUGGGCGAAACACUCGUACGUGUACGAGAUUGACGGUACACUGGGAAUAAGCAUCGGCUAACUCCGUGCCAGCAGCCGCGGUAAUACGGAGGAUGCAAGCGUUAUCCGGAUUUAUUGGGUUUAAAGGGUGCGUAGGCGGAUGAAUAAGUCAGUGGUGAAAGGCUGCAGCUUAACUGUAGACUUGCCGCUGAUACUGUUUAUCUUGAGUAUGGUCAAGGCAGGCGGAAUGUGUAAUGUAGCGGUGAAACGCUUAGAUAUUACACAGAACACCGAUUGCGAAGGCAGCUUGCUGGGCCAUUACUGACGCUGAUGCACGAAAGCGUGGGGAGCGAACAG